AGUGAACGCUGGCGGUAGGCCUAACACAUGCAAGUCGAACGGCAGCACAGUAAGAGCUUGCUCUUACGGGUGGCGAGUGGCGGACGGGUGAGGAAUACAUCGGAAUCUACUUUUUCGUGGGGGAUAACGUAGGGAAACUUACGCUAAUACCGCAUACGACCUACGGGUGAAAGCAGGGGAUCUUCGGACCUUGCGCGAUUGAAUGAGCCGAUGUCGGAUUAGCUAGUUGGCGGGGUAAAGGCCCACCAAGGCGACGAUCCGUAGCUGGUCUGGGAGGAUGAUCAGCCACACUGGAACUGAGACACGGUCCAGACUCCUACGGGAGGCAGCAGUGGGGAAUAUUGGACAAUGGGCGCAAGCCUGAUCCAGCCAUACCGCGUGGGUGAAGAAGGCCUUCGGGUUGUAAAGCCCUCUUGUUGGGAAAGAAAAGCAGCAGGUUAAUACCCCGCUGUUCUGACGGUACCCAAAGAAUAAGCACCGGCUAACUUCGUG
rnacentral:rRNA from 1 species